CCGGCAACGGACAUCUCGGCUCUCGCAUCGAUGAAGAACGUAGCGAAAUGCGAUACAUGGUGUGAAUUGCAGAAUCCCGUGAACCAUCGAGUCUUUGAACGCAAGUUGCGCCCGAGGGACCAUCCCGAGGGCACGC
rnacentral:rRNA from 1 species